CUAAGGAUUCCCCUAGUACUGCGAGUGAAGCGGGAAAGCUCAAAUUUAAAAUCUGGUGGUCUUUGGCCAUCCGAGUUGUAAUCUAGAGAAGUGUUAUCCGCGCUGGCCCGUGUACAAGUCCCCUGGAAUGGGGCGUCAUAGAGGGUGAGAAUCCCGUCUUUGACACGGACUACCAGGGCUUUGUGAUGCACUCUCAAAGAGUCGAGUUGUUUGGGAAUGCAGCUCAAAAUGGGUGGUAAAUUCCAUCUAAAGCUAAAUAUUGGCGAGAGACCGAUAGCGAACAAGUACCGUGAGGGAAAGAUGAAAAGAACUUUGGAAAGAGAGUUAAACAGUACGUGAAAUUGUUGAAAGGGAAACGCUUGAAGUCAGUCGCGUCAGUCAGGGAUCAACCUUACUUUUGUGAGGCGUACUUCCUGGUUGAUGGGUCAGCAUCAGUUUUGGCUGCUGGAUAAAGGUCAGAGAAAUGUGGCACCUCCGGGUGUGUUAUAGUCUCUGAUCAGAUACAGUGGCUGGGACUGAGGAACUCAGCACGCCGCAAGGCCGGGGUUCGCCCACGUUCGUGCUUAGGAUGCUGGCAAAAUGCUAAG
rnacentral:rRNA from 1 species